AAGUCGUAACAAGGUUUCCGUAGGUGAACCUGCGGAAGGAUCAUUAGUGAAUUAUAGGACGUCCAAUUUAACUUGGAGUCCGAACUCUCACUUUCUAACCCUGUGCAUUUGUUUUGGUUAGUAGGAUGCUUGCGUCUGAACACCUCUUCAUUUUACAAACACUAAGUAUAAGAAUGUUUAAAUUUUAUAAUCAAAUAAAACUUUCAACAACGGAUCUCUUGGCUCUC
rnacentral:misc_RNA from 1 species